AAUAUUCACACAUGUGUUCCUACACAAACCCAUCUGCAUUGCUUAUUUUUCUCAUUUUCUUAUAAUCUUUCACAUGCACAUGAAUUCAAUAGUUUCACUUUUUUGACCCUACCAUGCAAAUAGUAAUAAUUACUCUGACUUCUAGAUGACCUUAGAAGCCAGGAGCCAGUCAGGAGAUAAAUUUGUGUAAAUAGAAGUGCAAAAUAUAUACUUUUUGUCUGGAUCAUUUUUGCUCAUCCUUAUAUUUAUGAAUGUUAUCCAUGUGGCAUAUGAUUACAGUGUAUAUUGUCAUUACUCCCUAUAUUCCAUUACAUGGAGAAAAAAUUUAUUCAUUGAUUAUACUUUGCUGGGCAUUAUGAACAGGAACAGGAACAUAAGAAGAUCAUGAAUAUUUAAUUUCUUCAAACACAAAAAUUUACCAAAUCUUUUGUUUGAGAUUGAGAAUCUCUAGGAAGUAAGAUGUAGACAAAGUAUGAAAUAUGUAGAAGGCGGCAAGCAAUAUGAAACAGUACCAAGUUUGAGGGGCAUAAGGCACCUUGAGGGCAGGAUCCCUGUAGAAACACAGAGGACUGAAGUGCAGCAGUUCCUGCCCAAGUAAGACAACACUGUUCAAGACGCAGUAAGUAUUCCUGGGAGAGGACGCUGGACAAGAUGGCUUUGGAGAAUAGCAGAGGGUGAGCAGAAUGGAAUCAGCUAUUUCAGGUAUAAUCUCUUGAUUACUCUGCUCCCAUUUUACAGACAAGUUCAUUCUCAAAGGUCUGAGGUAGAACAGAGGUGGAGCAGACCCUGUUUGUUCAACAACUGAAUAAAUGACCACUUUUCUCCAAAACUGCCCAGGUCCUGGAUCCUGCAAGAGGCUUUUAAAUCAAGAUUUGAUGGAGAAGGAGAAUUUCUCCUCCAUGGCACAUUCUCAUUUACCUUCCUCCUUGGCCAAUAACCCCCUAGAGUCUGCAACAUCUACUGAAAAGAAAAGAGUCCUGAAUGUCUACUAUCAGCCUGUCCCAAUGAAAAGGGGUACGGCUUCCUUGGGGGAUACAGAAGAUGAUUUGGAGCCCCCCACAAAGAUGACAAGAAUAGCAAGAAUGACCUUUCCUGAGAAGAUCCCUUCAAAAGCCAGCCUCUCUUCUGUGUGCCUAAGAGAUGUCCUAACUGACAGUGAAAAUGGCCUGCCCGGGGAAGGGCAAGAGGAAAGGGAAGAGGCUGAGAAUCUGGCCCGGGAUUCGGUGCUGGAGGACCUGUACAGUGGCUUCAGGUGCAUGGGCUGCGACCAGGUCUUCCCCAAUAUGCGGAUGCUUAAGAAACACCUGGAGGAUGGGGUUGAGGGUGGUGCUUCAUGCCUUAGUCUUGCAUUUGCCAAACUAAGGAACAAAAUGAAGCAAAGCAAGAGAAUCACAGAGGGGGAGGAUGGGAAUAUGACAACAUCUGGAGGUGAUAUGGAGACACUUGUGAUGUUCUUGUUACUUGUGGCUUUUUGUUUUUUCUUUUACUAUUAUAAUAAAUAGAAAUUAAAUCAUAUGUUUCCGGAAGUAAUAAAUUAGAGACAAUAACACAAGAGGACACCAGAAAACUUUUCCAUCCACAAAAUAGCAGAAAAAAUAAGCAUCUUCACAAGCUAAGCCUUUGGUUAGUUUUUUUCUUUCCAUCUCUGUUCUCUCACCCACAUCAGCCUGCUGUUUCCAGAAUGGGUCUCAAGGUUUGUAUUUACCUUUGGUUUAUUAUUUAUUUUCAUUAGUACAUGUUGGUAGUGCAUAAAGUUUACAGACCUGGGGAGCAAUUGGUACAGGUACGUAACACAUCUUACACUUCCUUUUUAUCAUCCCCUUUCCCUCUCCUCCCACCCCACCCUCUCCGUCUUUUGAUCUUUUCCCUGUUUAGAAAGAUUUAUCCCUCUUCUUCCUAUCAUCUAUCUUUAUUUUGCUCUUUAUUUAUACUUUGGGUUUCUCAUACAAAAAAAAAAUCCAUGUGAUAUGUAAGCUUAUGUGUCUGAUUUAUCUCACUGAACAUUAUGGUCUCAAGAUGCUUUAAUUUUUUUUUUACAAAUGACUCAAGUUUAUCAUUCCUUAUGGUAGAGUAGUACUCAAUUGUGUUUAAAAACCACAUUUAAUUUAUCUAUUCUUCUGUUGAUGGACAUAUGGGCUACUUCCAAUGUUUAGCUAUUAUGAAUUGUGUUGCUGUAUACAUGGGUCUGCAUGGGUCACUGUAAUGUCUUUGACUCUUUGCGAAGACAUCUAGAAGGGGAAUAGCUGGAUCAAGUAGAAUUUCUAGUUUCAGUUUUGUGAGGAAUCUCCAUACUAGUUUUCAGCCCACUUGUCUCUGCUGGAUAUAGGCCACAGGCCAGGGGUUCAUGUGGGCUGUUAGAUUCAAUGUCCUUUGUCAUAGAAAAAGAUUCCCUUCUUUCAACUGUUUUUUCCAUUACUAGGAUGUGUUGUCCAUUCAGAAGCACAGCUAGUACUUAGAGUAGCACUAGUUUGCUUAGGAUGAAUACAAGCUUUUGUAAAUGCCUACCGUCCUUUGCAUGUAUUCACCCAAUACUAUUUCUCAGUAUUCUCCCAGGUUGGCAGAAAUUACAUGACUUUUGCAGUAGCCUAAAAAAUGGAAUCUUGUUACUAAAUUACUUUUCUUCAUUCUUCAAUAAAAACACACUUAUAUUUCUGAAUUUGUGGAUUACUA
ensembl:lncRNA